rnacentral:rRNA from 1 species
UACGUAGGGUGCGAGCGUUAAUCGGAAUUACUGGGCGUAAAGGGUGCGCAGGCGGUUAUAUAAGACAGAUGUGAAAUCCCCGGGCUCAACCUGGGAACUGCGUUUGUGACUGUAUGACUAGAGUACGGUAGAGAGGGGUGGAAUUCCUGGUGUAGCAGUGAAACGCGUAGAUAUUGGGAGGAACACCGGUGGCGAAGGCGGGUCUCUGGGCCGAUAUUGACGCUGAGGAGCGAAAGCGUGGGUAGCAAACAGG